rnacentral:lncRNA from 1 species
CGAGGCUAGGAAACAAGGUGUAUGCGAGCUUUUAGCACGCUAUUACACCUGUUUCGAGUCGAGUACAAAUACAGCUGAUAUUUAAAGACACUAAACAGUUAUUGUCUUUAUCCUGCAAUUAAUUCUGUAUAUUAUUUGUGUUUUGAAAGACACAAAAAACACAUGUUUUGCAUUUAUUUUCUAUUUGAAAUCCCUUGAGGCCCGUGUAGUAAUACGAUACAGUAAUCACACAUUCAGCUGAAGACGG